GUAAGGGAUGGGGGAAAGGCUGCGAGGAGACAUACACUGAGACACUAAGGGACACUGGGAGACAUUAUGGCAGACACUGAGACACUAAGGGACAUUGGGAGACAUUAUGGCAGACAAUGAGACACUAAGGGACAUUGGGAGACAUUAUGGCAGACACUGAGACACCAAGGGGCACUGGGAGACAUUAUGGCAGACACUGAGACACCAAGGGGCACUGGGAGACAUUAUGGCAGACAAUGAGACACUUAGGGACAUUGGGAGAUAUUAUUGCACACAAUGAGACACUAAGGGACACUGGGAGACAUUAUGGCAGACACUGAGACACUAAGGGGCACUGGGAGACAUUAUGGCAGACACUGAGACACUAAGGGGCACUGGGAGACAUUAUGGCAGACACUGAGACACUAAGGGGCAUUGGGAGACAUUAUGGCAGACACUGAGACACUAAGGGGCAUUGGGAGACAUUAUGGCAGACACUGAGACACUAAGGGGCACUGGGAGACAUUAUGGCAGACACUGAGACACUAAGGGGCAUUGGGAGACAUUAUGGCAGACACUGAGACACUAAGGGACAUUGGGAGACAUUAUGGCAGACACUGAGACACUAAGGGACACUGGGAGACAUUAUGGCAGACACUGAGACACUAAGGGGCACUGGGAGACAUUAUGGCAGACACUGAGACA